rnacentral:rRNA from 1 species
ACGAACGCUGGCGGCGUGCUUAACACAUGCAAGUCGAGCGGUAAGGCCCUUCGGGUACACGAGCGGCGAACGGGUGAGUAACACGUGGGUGACCUGCCUUUAGCUCUGGGAUAAGCCUGGGAAACUGGGUCUAAUACCGGAUAUGACCUCAUGAUGCAUGUUGUGGGGUGGAAAGCCUUGUGCGGCUGGAGAUGGGCCCGCGGCCUAUCAGCUUGUUGGUGGGGUGANGGCCUACCAAGGCGACGACGGGUAGCCGGCCUGAGAGGGCGACCGGCCACACUGGGACUGAGACACGGCCCAGACUCCUACGGGAGGCAGCAGUGGGGAAUCUUGCGCAAUGGGCGAAAGCCUGACGCAGCGACGCCGCGUGAGGGAUGACGGCCU